rnacentral:rRNA from 1 species
UAAAUUGAGAGUUUGAUCCUGGCUCAGGAUGAACGCUGGCGGCGUGCCUAAUACAUGCAAGUCGAACGGACUGUGGUGAUUAUGAUCGAAGAGCUUGCUCGGAGAGAUUAAUCACAAUGCAGUCAGUGGCGAACGGGUGAGUAACACGUGGGAAACCUACCUCUUAGCAGGGGAUAACAUUUGGAAACAGAUGCUAAUACCGUAUAACAAUUAGAACCGCAUGGUUCAAGUUUAAAAGAUGGUUCUGCUAUCACUAAGAGAUGGUCCCGCGGCGUAUUAGUUAGAUGGUGAGGUAAUGGCUCACCAUGGCAAUGAUACGUAGCCGAGUUGAGAGACUGAUCGGCCACAUUGGGACUGAGACACGGCCCAAACUCCUACGGGAGGCAGCAGUAGGGAAUCUUCCACAAUGGACGAAAGUCUGAUGGAGCAACGCCGCGUGUGUGAUGAAGGCUUUCGGGUCGUAAAACACUGUUAUAAGAGAAGAACGUCAGUGAGAGUAACUGUUCAUUGAGUGACGGUAUCUUAUCAGAAAGGGACGGCUAAAUACGUGCCAGCAGCCGCGGUAAUACGUAUGUCCCAAGCGUUAUCCGGAUUUAUUGGGCGUAAAGCGAGCGCAGGCGGUUAUUUAAGUCUGAUGUGAAAGCCUACGGCUCAACCGUAGAAUUGCAUCGGAAACUGGAUAACUUGAGUGCAGUAGAGGAGAGUGGAACUCCAUGUGUAGCGGUGAAAUGCGUAGAUAUAUGGAAGAACACCAGUGGCGAAGGCGGCUCUCUGGACUGUAACUGACGCUGAGGCUCGAAAGUGUGGGUAGCAAACGGAUUAGAUACCCCGGUAGUCCACACCGUAAACGAUGAAUGCUAGUUGUUAGAGGGUUUCCGCCCUUUAGUGACGCAGCUAACGCAUUAAGCAUUCCGCCUGGGGAGUACGACCGCAAGGUUGAAACUCAAAGGAAUUGACGCCGAGGUGGAUGACACAGGUGGUUGUCGUCAGCUCGUGUCGUGAGAUGUUGGGUUAAGUCCCGCAACGAGCGCAACCCUUAUUACUAGUUGCCAGCAUUAAGUUGGGCACUCUAGUGAGACUGCCGGUGACAAACCGGAGGAAGGUGGGGAUGACGUCAAAUCAUCAUGCCCCUUAUGACCUGGGCUACACACGUGCUACAAUGGAUGGUACAACGAGUCGCAAAGUCGCGAGGCUAAGCUAAUCUCUUAAAGCCAUUCUCAGUUCGGAUUGUAGUCUGCAACUCGACUACAUGAAGUCGGAAUCGCUAGUAAUCGCGGAUCAGCACGCCGCGGUGAAUACGUUCCCGGGCCUUGUACACACCGCCCGUCACACCAUGAGAGUUUGUAACACCCAAAGUCGGUGGGGUAACCUUCGGGAGCCAGCCGCCUAAGGUGGGAUAGAUGAUUAGGGUGAAGUCGUAACAAGGUAGCCGUAGGAGAACCUGCGGCUGGAUCACCUCCUUUCUAAGGA